UACAGAGGGUGCGAGCGUUAAUCGGAAUUACUGGGCGUAAAGCGUGCGUAGACGGUUAUUUAAGUCGGGUGUGAAAGCCCCGGGCUCAACCUGGGAAUUGCAUUCGAGACUGAAUAGCUAGGGUACGGUAGAGGGAAGUGGAAUUCCGGUGUAGCGGUGAAAUGCGUAGAUAUCGGAAGGAACAUCAGUGGCGAAGGCGGCAUCCUGGACCGGUAUUGACGCUGAGGCGCGAAAGCUAGGGGAGCAAACGGG
rnacentral:rRNA from 1 species